UUAAUAGAAGCCAAAAUUGAGGCUAUUCACUGUUAAUGAAUAAAUUGAUUAAAUUUAGUCCUAUUA
rnacentral:tRNA from 1 species